AGGUCAAGCUGAUAACAGCACACAUAGAAUAUCGCUUGUAUACUUAUCUUCGCUCCUACACACCGUUCCGUUUCUCAAAACUUUAUAAUACGCUUCAUUUCGUAUACAGUUGUUUCGGAAUAAAUGGAUACUACUACGACUUUUAUCGAAGUCAGACUAUUAUUAGCUAGAUGAGUUAUAUAGUACCUAGCUUUUAUGAUUGUUUGUCUACUAUUAUUUUUAUCGUAAACAUAAAUUACUAUAAGAGCGCUGCUUCGUGUGCAUGUGCGUGCGCCGCCAUCUUAAGUGUACUUAUACUAUUUCCUUGUUACUGUCAUGCCUAGCAUAGCAAUGCUACUACGGUACAACUAUAGUGUAGUCGCGCUAUUAUAGCAUAAUCGGGGCCUGAAUUUAUCUAUUUGGUUGACAAAAUUAAUUCAAAGGUAUGUCAUAACUUGUGCCAAUUAUAGCAGAAACGAGAAACGGAAAUACGAGACACGGUUUUGUAAAUCGGUUCCUCGGUGAAUGGAUUAACGCGAUCGUGUGCUGUCAACUUCCGCUCCCACGGACACUGUUCGACCAACAUCUAGAAUCGUUCGCUAAAGUGCUUAAUUGCUCCUAGCAAGGAAAAGGAUCUUCUAUUUUUAAAGAGACUUCAUUUUUCACGUUCCUCGCGACAGAACUGAGACGCAUCGAUUACUUCGACGAGUGUUUGCACGAUUAGCCAAAAAAAAAAACAAGGUGAAAAUAUAGUCGUUUGAAAAAUAGCGAAAAACCUCGAUAGUGUUAAAAAAUGAAGCAUUGAAAGAAAACCAUUUAUUUGGAAUGUCUGACAAGUGGAGACUACGCGUUAAAAAGAAAGUAAAGAAUAAUAUUAAUCCCCGUAUCGACGGUCUACGGGGGGCGUGAAAGUCGUGGAACGAGGGUUAAUCGAAUAGAAAACUGGCAAACCGAGCUGCCUGAUGGAAGUCAUCGUAGAUAAGCUGUUAUCGGCAGGCAUGCGUGCAUACGUACGCCGGCACUUAAUUUCGUGUCGGACUGUUUGCUUUAUCGCAAUCGUGUACCUGCAGCGUUCAUUGCUCACGUACGUUUUUACGCGUCCGAUAAAUACGCCCCCCCCCCUCUUCUUGUGGAAAAAAAAUGGGCCACCGUACGUAACGCGUGUCGUAAACGUCUGAAAAUAUCUCCAAAGGUUGCCUACGCGAAUAUAAAGCACUCGGUAUUUAACGAUUUACGAGUGGGACGAAUACUUGUUCGCGGACCAAUACGACUGGACACCGAACCGAGACGACUGGAGGGUUCCCGCUGAAUUUUCAUCUUUCUCGACUAUUCGCGCGACGACACAUGGUUUCUGUUACUCCCACAUGGCCUAAACGACGCCAGGCAAGUGGCUCUAAGGUUGGAUUCGCGAUUGGAGCGAAUUUGUUUCGCGGAUCGAUACAACUGGAGGGCAAUAGGUCGUAAAUCAAUGGUCUGGAAUGACUGGAAACGUUGGACGUAGUAUCGUAGAACGAUUUGCAGUGGAAAUUUGUCCUUGACAGGAACUAUUAUCUAUCGCGGCGCAGUGGCUCCGUUCGACGUUAGAACAGUCUAGAAAUAUCGUUCGUUGAAUUCCUUGAUACUGUAGUCACUAGCGGAUUCGGCGUAUGAUGUAACUUAGGUCUUUUCCAGCGGGAGACUGCUUUCAGUACGUUAGAGAAGAGUUCGCUGUAUAAUUAGAAAAGAAUCGAAGGCGAAAAAUGUUGAAUUGAAUUUUAACGACGCCGAAAAGUAUUCUAGGAAAAUGUAAUAAUACAUACAUGGAGCUCGCGUGUUCCUUUGUAUACGUCUCGUUGGGAAAAUUAACGUUGCACGGUUAGUUUUACCAUGGCAAUUUCGCGUCAAGUGAAAAGCGAGAAAGUUGAAUUUAUCAUUCCGCAGGCCAACAUUUCGUUUCACUCCGUAAACGUCUACAAGGUUUUUUACCUUCUGCUUUAAUUUCACGUUCCACUGCGUGAAUCUUUAUCUGAAUAAAAAUUACACGUGUCGAACAAGAGAUUGAAAAUCGUUAUCUGUUACGUGGCCGAAUAAAUAUAACCCGAGUUAUUUCGAACUCCAAGAAAAACCAGAUUUUUAUAUUGUCUUUAUUCGAGGAAUGAAUUUACUUGGAACGAAUGUUGUUACGUGUUCGUCGCAUAAAGAUAAUUGUGAAUAUUAUGUAAUACGCGAGGAGCUGCGAAAACUGGAACAACCCCUCGUAACUCGUUCAAUGCAAGAUUGCCUAUGAGCAAUGUUGGAUUGCUUUAUCUGCUUCCUCCGAUAGUGCUCGCACAGUGGCUGAUAAAAGUCAAUGACAGAGGAAAAUGCCUCCAUCGGAAACGAGCUACACGAUUUAAGCAACGCCCACGCAAUUUAAAAAAAAAAUUACUCUCCAACCCAAAAUGAUGGAGUACCGAGUGAAGUUAAAGUCGGGGAGAUUACAGAGCGAUUCCAUGGCUCCCCAGUUGCCCAUCUGCCAUCUUGUCUCACACGAAUUGUACAAGUCUAAAACGUGGUGAAAUAAUACGAAAAUAAUGGAGCACCGAGUGAAAGUAAAAGUCGAAAGGAUUACAGAGCGAUCCCGUGGCUCCCCAGAUGUCCAUCCGCCAUCUUAUCUCCCAGGCAUAGUACAAGUCCAAAACACAAUAUACAUCGCGAUAUUUCCCACUCAAAUUAAAAGAAAAAUACUGUUCUACCUACAUUUUAUUCUUUUUUAUUCUAUUAUUUCAUGAAGCGAAAUAAUACGAAACAAUGGAGUACGAGUGGAAACUUUGGAGGGAUUACAGAGCGAUCCCGUGGCUCCCCAGUUGCCUAUCCGCCAUCUUGUCUCCCAGGCAUAGUACAAGUCCAAAACACAAUAUACAUCGCGAAAUUGGUGUCGAAUCGUAGUACAAGCUAGCAAUUUUAAUGGUUGCAACAGUUAUCUGCAGAUAGCUCACCACGUCCUCGAGGAAGCCUUCGUGGCUGGCUAUCGCGUCUUUAAUGGCAACAAUUUCGCGCUGAAAGAACCAUUCUCACGGUUAGUUUCAUAAAUACGAGUCUGUGCCGUGGACAAAGUCCGCGUAGACAAUGUAGCAAUUGUUUCUAUCAUCUUCGCAGACGAAUCGACGUUUUCGCGUCGAAUUCUCGGAGCCGUCCACGGAUCUAAGGAAUGCACGUUUCGGUGUUCCGUGCGAUCCUGGAAUAAAUGGCGAACGCGUCGAGAAUCCAAAACGCGUUGUUCGACUUUCGAGGAGAAAGGUGCACGACAUCUAGAUGCCGGGAGGUAGCGAACGUUAGAGGUCACGGUACGGUGAACUCCUUGGCGAGCAACCUUCAUCCUUUCCAAUUUGUUGCCGCGGAUUGUACUGAUGCGUGGCAGCGGCCACGGAAGCGAGACGAGCGUGAAAAAGGAGCGCGGGGCAACGACAACAACAACAGUGGCGGCUGAAUAGACGCGGCCGCUCAGAACGUAAAUCUUAUAUUUAUUAUUGCGGAAGCACGUUUUCGAGCAUACUGGUCGAUGGACUGUGGAUGUGUGUAACGGAGCCAUGGGAAAUUUUAUGAGAACGUGCAUAAAUGCAGGAAUACGUAAAAUAUCAACGAUAGUGCACGUGUUAUAGAAGAUGAAACAUAUUUUUAUUUAUGUCUGAAUGAUCCGCAGUGAUCAAUUUAGUUCUGAAUAUUUGUACGUGGAAGUCGAGAUUAAUGCGGGACAGGAGUUUGAAAACAUUUUUUAAGGAAAUGAAGUUGAUAUGUUUCGGUUGAGAUGGAAUUCUUGGUACAGUGAAUCUCAUUAUUUUGUCCCUGCCUUUUUAUUUCUCUUGCGGGUAUGUAGUGAAUAUAUUAAUAAAUAAACGUAGAGGGUUAUGAAUUAUCCUAUAAUCAAUUUCUUAGGAAAUAAAGAUUAGCAUUAUCUAUUAUACGUCCAGAUGUUAAUACAGCCAAUCUUUUUGUUGAAUAAAAUUAUCCUAGUAAAUCGCUAUAUAAUUAGGCAAAACUGUGUCAUUAUUUACGAGGCGUUUAAUUUUUCUUGUACAGUUACUAUCUAGUAUCAAUGACGCAGACUAUCAAAACAAACGUUAUAGACACAUAUUGGAUCCCAUUACGUAAGUGGAAUGAUUAGAAUGAGCAGAAAACUUCUUAUCGCUCUUGCAACAUAUUUUUAUCGAGACUCAAUAGCUGAUCGAUGUGCUCGAAGGUAGGUUAACACCUUCACUGUCUUUGAAGUUAA